UCGCUGUUUUCAUUUGGUUAUUUUUUUCCCCUUUUUGUCAUAGGACCAACCCAGAAUAGAAUCAUGAGUUGCAGGAAAUAUCGAGAGUGUGAUAUCAGUGGAGCUGGAUCCUUUGCUGAGGACUCUCCUGGUACCUCCACAGCCAUUCCUGGUGGGAAGCCAGAGCCAACCCGUGCCCCACUUUUUGGUGUGCGUGCAGCACCCACCUGCUUUCUGCUGCCAUGAAUGCAAUGUUUGGAUACCACUGGAGAGGCGCUCGGGCUCUGGUAGCAUUUGUUUCCACCCACCUUCUCCAGUUUGCUCCAUGAAAGCCAUCGGCUGCCUCGCACAGACCCGGAGCUCCUUCUGCAUGGAGCUGUGGGACAGUGAUGGGAGGAGGAGGAGGAGGAGCAGGAGCAGGAGCUGGAGCUGGAGCGAGGCUGCUCUCCAGGAGCCUCAGGAGUCGCUUGGGGCUGAAGAGCGAGGAGAAGCUCGUUUGUUAUGCAAAUAUCUGCUUCGGCCUGGCCUGGCAUAGGCAGUGGAAAGCUCUUGAAUUAUUUUAAGCAGAGGACAAAAGUUCUUUCCCUCCCCCUAUCAUCUUGGAUCCUUAUUAAAACAAAACAAAACAGAAACCUCUGUGUGAACCAUCUGAGGAUGAUCAGUGCUGUGCUUUGCUGGCAAGAGCGGUGUGGCCAGGAGUGCACAGGCGCAGGGAAAUAGAACAAUUAAGACAAAAAAAAAAUGCAUUGGAGGCAGACAGGCUUUAUUUUGUUUGGAUGGCAGCACAAACGAAGCACCCUCCAGCCUUAUCGCCACCAGCAUGCUAGGGGCAGGCAGGCCACAGAGGGACUGGGCUGUCACUGGGCGACCGGCUGAGGCACGGCCACCUGCAGCAGGGAGGGCACUGGGCAGCCGUUCCCGGGAGCCACUCGGGAUGGUUGGUUUUAUGGCUGGUUUGGUGGGAGGCUGGGUUAGAUGGCUGGUUUGGGUGCAUGAAACACAACUCGAGGAGCCACCCAUGCGUGUCUUAGAGGACAGGGCUGUCCCACCAUGGAACGAUGAGGG
ensembl:lncRNA